rnacentral:tRNA from 1 species
UUAAUAGAAGCCAAAAAUUAAGAGGCUAUUCACUGUUAAUGAAUUCAUUGUUAUAACCUAUUAAA